AGAAUCAACGCUGGCGGCGUGCCUAACACAUGCAAGUCGAACGAGAAAGUGGAGCAAUCCAUGAGUAAAGUGGCGACCGGGUGAGUAACACGUGACUAACCUACCCUCGAGUGGGGAAUAACUUCGGGAAACCGAGGCUAAUACCGCAUAAUAUCCAUGGCUGAGACACUGUGGAUCAAGGAGCAAUUCGCUUGAGGAGGGGGUCGCGGUCGAUUAGCUAGUUGGCGGGUAACGGCCCACCAAGGCAGUGAUCGAUA
rnacentral:rRNA from 1 species